GCGGGAGUGGUGAAAUGGUAGACACGCAGGAUUUAGGUUCCUGUGCCUUCGGGCGUGUGGGUUCGAGUCCCACCUUCCGCA
rnacentral:tRNA from 1 species